GGACUCAUGAAGGCCUUUCACCUGAUCAAAGGCACAAUAAUGCAAAAUAAAUUCCAUAUUAAUACUUCUCCAUGCACACAAAAAGACCAUCCAGGUCUUCUGACCCGCUAAAAUACCUAACCCUAUAGCCCUAAGAAUGUGGGAACCCCUGAAGGACAGAUCAAGGUCCUUGAGAAACAUGGUUCAGGUUAUGUCAACAGUAUGGCAUGCUCAUAAUUCAAUUGAUCAAUGGAAAAUCCUGUUCACUAAAGAUAACAAUAAUGUUCUUAUAGUUGUUAAAAAAGAAAAAACUAACAAAAUUAACGUUUAAACAAUAAAGGGCUUCCCUUCUCAGUCUAUUAUCUCACUUUUCAUGUAGCAUGGAGACAUUAAAUACUUAGAUGCAGUAUAUUUUGGGGGGCAAUGCUUAAAAACUGCCAUCUGGAUCAAAAAUGUUCAAUUUAAUAUGAAUGUUAAAUAUAUAAGGACAUGCAUUUAAAAUUGUAGCAUCCACUAGACAGCAGACACGGUAAAAAAAAAAUAGCAAAUAACAUUUGGGUACUAAUCUAAAUGUGCAACAUAUAAUUCUCAUCAAAGAAUGCCAGCACUCCAUCCUACUAAAGAUGUCAUAUAACCUGUUUGAAUGAGCAACAUCAAGAGAUAAACACUCACAUGAUUAUGGAUGGAUAUAUAAGAAAUAAAAGAGAUGCAACUUUGGAUGUCACCCUAAAUAAAUAAAGCUACCUUGCAAAAAUAUGCAAUGGGAUAACAGUUAUACUGUUCAGUGAGUCUUCCAUGUGCUUCUUUUCAACAAGUGUUGCUGCUUGUUUUAAAUGCAAUCUCAAUAAUGAAAAAAGAUUGACCAUGGAAAGAGGCAAAUUUUCUUACACAACCACUAGGAAAGCAAUAAAACUGGUCCACAUUUUCAUUGCUAACCUCACAAGCACAAAGAAACCAGUAUUGCUAAAUUCGUCCCGGUCACAAUGCCACAUUCAAAUUGAUUUGUCAAAGAUAAAGUAUACUCAUGUGUCUUUGCCUAUAACUAACUCUAAAAAUUUUAUGAUGAAAAAGAAUUAGAGACAAACCAAAUUGUCCCAUAAAAGAUUCAGGGUUACAUGUGUAGCAAUUAAACCAAGCAAAAGAUGGAUUAUAACUAUAAGAAUUUUUGUAAGCCGCGGUAAGGAACACCAUGGGACAUUUAAGUCAGAAAACAAGAUUGCAGCAAGAAGAAGAACCGCAACUUAGGUGUAUGAACUCCACAGAAUAAAAGGGGGAAAAAUAAACUUAAAAAUCAUUGGCAAGCACCCCAAACGCAAAUAACGCAAAGCAGGAUUUGAGCAUAGAUAUUUCACAUUUAAUUUAACUUGAAAGCUAUGGAUUUUCUAUUCAGACCUAAAAAGCAAAGAAGAUCAAGCAAUGUGGCUUACAAAAAUUCCACAAAACAGUCCAUUUUAGUUGAGGCUUCUCAAAUCUCCACAUUCCUUCACCAAAUCCAUCAAAUUCCUCCAAUCCAAAUAAUAAAGAGCUCCCUAACCUAAAGCCAAGCCUCUCAUUUCAGCUGGCUAGACGUGCAUAAGGCAAGGAUCACUCCAAAUAGGAAUAACUCAAAUGUCUAUACCAUACUAUUAGGGGGAAAAUUAAUUAAAAAAGAAAAAGAAAACUACCAUUAUAAUUCUGGGUUUACCUUAACUUGUUGAAUCAAUACAAAUGAAGCCUUCUAGCGAAUUAAAUGCCUCUCCAGAAAUUGAAAAUCCAUAGAUAACCCAACAAAAUUGACAAGUUAAUUUCAGAUUACAAGGCAAAAUUACUGUCUUUUGUUCUCAAACGCGAAACUAAAAACAAAAAUCCUAAAACCCCACAUCUUAAAUAUCAAUCUAUUAACGUUUUCAAUGCAAGAUGUUUGAGGCUUCAAAAAAUGCAGAGAGAACAUGGAUUUUUCCGUUUUUCUUCUUGGGUACUAACCUGUUGAGAAAUGGAUUCAUGG
rnacentral:misc_RNA from 1 species